AGGAGGAAAAUUCAUUUGCGAAGUCUUUUCGAACACACAAAGCCCUAACAUCCAUUUUUCACUUCCAUUUGAACAAAAUAAAAAACAAAGAGAAUCUCAUUUUCUGAGAAGAGAAAAAAAAAAAAAAAAAACAUGGCUGCUUUGGAUGAAAGCGCUUCUGCUAAGAGAUGGCUUCCUCUUGAAGCUAACCCCGAUGUUAUGAACCAGUUUCUCUGGGGCCUUGGUCUUAAAGAAGAUGUAGCAGAGUGCUAUGAUGUUUAUGGCUUGGAUGAAGAACUUUUAGAAAUGGUCCCAAAGCCUGUACUUGCUGUGCUAUUUCUUUAUCCCGUAACUGCACAGAGCGAAGAAGAGAGAAUGCUGCAGGCAAAUGAAAAACAGGAACCUCAUGGGAGAGUUUAUUUUAUGAAACAAACUGUGGACAAUGCUUGUGGAACAAUAGGUCUUCUGCAUGCCAUUGGAAAUAUUACUUCAGAGAUCAAGCUUGGCUUUCUACUCCAGAGCAUAUCGGAACUUUUGUUUGGCACAACUCACAGUUACAUCAUGCUAGGAAUUGAUGGAUCCUUCUUGGAUAGGUUUUUCAAAUCUACUGCAAGCAUGAACCCAUUGGAGCGUGCAGCAUUUCUUGAGGGCGACAGAGAAAUGGAAGUUGCUCAUUCAGUAGCUGCUAUUGGUGGUGAUACAGAGAUUUUCUUUGCAGGCUUCACACAACGUGGACGACCAUUUUAUCUGCUUUGCAUGUGUGGAUGGGGUACUUUAUGAGCUUGACGGUGAUAAGACGGGACCAAUUUCUCAUGGUGCUUCUUCACCAGACAGUCUAUUACAGGAUGCUGCUAAAGUCAUAAAGGGCAUUAUCCAGAAAAACCCCGACUCGCUCAACUUCAAUGUGAUUGCCAUUUCAAAGAAAGCUUGAACAGUUUGAGAUUGUCCCCAAGGUUUCUCACAUAGAAUAUGUCGAUGCCGUAGUACUACGUGAUGUAAUUUUUAGUAUUCUCUGUAGUCUGAAAUAACUUUUUUCACAAUUAUUAUGUUCAUAUAGGCUUUACAGCCCCCAUUCCCAUAA